ensembl:lncRNA
CAGAGAGGUAUUUGCCAGUCAAAGUGGCAUUAAGUCUUGGAUGAAGAUCACACAGGUAUAUUAGGGUUCCAUUGUCACGACACGCACACAGACAGGUAGAUCCAAAAGCAGUAUGUUUAUUGGGGUGAUCCAAAAAUCAGAAAACAUCCAGGCAAAGGUCAAAAUCCAGGUAAUCCGUCCAAGACAAGAAACAUAGACAACAUCCAGAAACACGAACAACCAGGGAACCAGGAAAACGCAGGGUGACAUUCAACAAGGACUCCGUGACAAUGACAGAACAACCGGGGUAUUUAUACACAGGGAAAUGACAAUGCUAACGGGGAAUUGGCUGAGUGCAAUGAUUGAUAACCACGGACAGCUGAGUGCAAUGAGCAGUGAUGAAACAGACAAGACUAUGGGAAAUGCAGUUCUAAAGUGGAGUGACGAUAAGGGGAAGUGAGACCUCUAGUGGCCACCCAGGGAGACACAGAACAGACACCGUGACACUACCCCCCCUCUAAGGAGCAGCUUCCAGAUGCUCCUCAGAACAAAAUAACCAAAAAACAAAGAGACCAGGAGGGAGGUGGACUGGUGGAGGCAGAACAGGGGGAGGGAUGGCGGGCCAGGCCCGUGUAGGGGAACUGGGACCGGCAGUGAUGGCUCCCCUGGUAGCCCAGGUGGCUCGGUCAGAUCAGGGGGCCAUGGUGGACCCGAAAGUUCAGGGGACCACGAGGGACCAGGCAGUUCAGGUGGCCACGGUGGAUCAGGGGACCACGAGGGGCCAGGCAGUUCAGGUGGACCCGAAAGUUCAGGGGACCACGAGGGGCCAGGCAGUUCAGGUGGACCCGAAAGUUCAGGGGACCACGAGGGGCCAGGCAGUUCAGGGGACCACGAGGGGCCAGGCAGUUCAGGUGGCCACGGUGGACCCGAAAGUUCAGGGGACCACGAGGGACCAGGCAGUUCAGGUGGCCACGGUGGACCCGAAAGUUCAGGGGACCACGAGGGACCAGGCAGUUCAGGUGGCCACGGUGGACCCGAAAGUUCAGGGGACCACGAGGGGCCAGGCAGUUCAGGUGGCCACGGUGGACCCGAAAGUUCAGGGGACCACGAGGGGCCAGGCAGUUCAGGUGGCCACGGUGGACCCGAAAGUUCAGGGGACCACGAGGGGCCAGGCAGUUCAGGUGGCCACGGUGGAUCAGUCCAUUCUCGUUGUGCAGACGGCCAGGGAGGAAUUCGCCAUUUGAGUGGCCCGAACGGAACCUGCCAAUCGGGGAGCCAGUAAGGAGCAGGCUGUGGCGAUGGCCAGGUCACGGCAUUGGGAACGGCAUCGGGAACGGCCUCAGACAAGGGCACCGCCUCGGGAACAGCCUCGGG